AUUAUUUGGGGUGCCCAACUUGUUGGAGCUGAGAUAAUACCCUUUGAACCUGAAACGGAUAAUACCGGCGGAGGAAAA
rnacentral:ncRNA from 1 species